GCCAUAGCUCAGUGGUAGAGCAUUUGCUUAGCAUGAAGAAGGUCCCAGGUUCAAUACCAGGUAUCUCUA
rnacentral:tRNA from 1 species